GAUGAACGCUGGCGGCGUGCCUAAUACAUGCAAGUCGAACGCUGAAGGAGGAGCUUGCUCUUCUGGAUGAGUUGCGAACGGGUGAGUAACGCGUAGGUAACCUGCCUGGUAGCGGGGGAUAACUAUUGGAAACGAUAGCUAAUACCGCAUGACAACAGUUAUUGCAUGAUAACUGUUUAAAAGGGGCAACUGCUCCACUACCAGAUGGACCUGCGUUGUAUUAGCUAGUUGGUGAGGUAACGGCUCACCAAGGCGACGAUACAUAGCCGACCUGAGAGGGUGAUCGGCCACACUGGGACUGAGACACGGCCCAGACUCCUACGGGAGGCAGCAGUAGGGAAUCUUCGGCAAUGGACGGAAGUCUGACCGAGCAACGCCGCGUGAGUGAAGAAGGGUUUCGGAUCGUAAAGCUCUGUUGUAAGAGAAGAACGAGUGUGAGAGUGGAAAGUUCACACUGUGACGGUAUCUUACCAGAAAGAGACGGCUAACUACGUG
rnacentral:rRNA from 1 species